rnacentral:ncRNA from 1 species
CAACUGAUUUGGUCCUAGUCCUUCUCUUGGUCCUCUCUAAAACGAUACAUGCGAGUUAAUUACAACACAGUGAGUAACAAUUAAAAGCUACUCUUAAAAGAAAUAGCUCUACCAAAACAAGGCAUCAGAAAAUAUCUCAGUUCAACAACGCCUAGCCAACCACACCUGCAGUACCUAACAUUAUACAAUAAGCAAAAGCUUGAUAUAGUUAUAGAAUUAAGAGUUGGUUAAUUAUGUGCCAGCCACCGCGGUUAUACAUAAAACUCAAACCAAGAAAACCCUCGGUCUAAAGGUGACUAGAGAAAACACCAUUUAGGGUAGAAAAAAACUCCAGUAUUAACAAGCUUCUAUAGUAAACUAAUCACAACUACAAUACCGCCCUAAACUCUUUAACUCAAAACACCAAAGCUCAAAAAUAAACUGGGAUUAGAUACCCCACUAUAUGAGCCGUAAAAUAUCAAUAACACCAGAGAACUACGAAUCAAAAUUUAAAACUCAAAGGACUUGGCGGUUUUUUAGAUCUCCCUGGAGGAGCUUGCUAUCCAACCGAUAACCCGCGUCAAACCUUACCAACUAUUGAAAACUCAGCCUGUAUACCAUCGUCGUCAGUCUACCUCUCAAGAGAAGUUUUCCCAAAGAACCUUACCCCCUUCCUAACGUCAGAUCGAGGUGCAGCUAAUAAGUUGGCGAUCAGUGAGCUACAAUAAAAUCUCAAAACCAAACUUUUUUAUGGAUAGUCCCUUGAAAAAAGGACUAGAAAUAGGAUUCAGCAGUAACACUUACUAGACACUAAGUGUGAAACACCACUCAGCUCUAAAAUGCGCACACAUCGCCCGUCACUCUCGUCCAAAGAGGAGAAAAGUCGUAACAUAGUAGGCGUAUUGGAAAAUGUGCCUGGAACAAUUAUUCUUGUAGUCUAAACAUGACAGUAGCUUUUCACGCUACAAAUUUGGGUGAAAACCCCAACAAGUA